rnacentral:rRNA from 1 species
AGAGUUGAUCUGGCUCAGACGACGCUGCGCGUGCUAUACAUGCAGUAGAACGCUGAAAUAAGAGCUUGCUCUUAUGGAUGAGUUGCGAACGGGGUGAGUAACACGUGGGGAACCUACUUCUAGCGGGGGAUAACACAUAGAAAUGUGUGCUAAUACCGCAUAAUAGUAUUUGAUGCAUAUCAGAUACUUGAAAGGCGCAAUUGCGUCACUAGAAGAUGGCCCCGCGGUGCAUUAGCUAGUUGGUGAGGUAACGGCUCACCAAGGCAAUGAUGCAUAGCCGACCUGAGAGGGUGAUCGGCCACACUGGGACUGAGACACGGCCCAGACUCCUACGGGAGGCAGCAGUAGGGAAUCUUCGGCAAUGGACGCAAGUCUGACCGAGCAACGCCGCGUGAGUGAAGAAGGUUUUCGGAUCGUAAAACUCUGUUGUAAGAGAAGAACGUUGAUGAGAGUGGAAAGUUCAUCAAGUGACGGUAUCUUACCAGAAAGCCACGGCUAACUACGUGCCAGCAGCCGCGGUAAUACGUAGGUGGCAAGCGUUGUCCGGAUUUAUUGGGCGUAAAGCGAGCGCAGGCGGUUGAUUAAGUCUGAUGUGAAAGCCCCCGGCUCAACCGGGGAGGGUCAUUGGAAACUGGUCAACUUGAGUGCAGAAGAGGAGAGUGGAAUUCCAUGUGUAGCGGUGAAAUGCGUAGAUAUAUGGAGGAACACCAGUGGCGAAGGCGGCUCUCUGGUCUGUAACUGACGCUGAGGCUCGAAAGCGUGGGGAGCGAACAGGAUUAGAUACCCUGGUAGUCCACGCCGUAAACGAUGAGUGCUAAGUGUUGGAGGGUUUCCGCCCUUCAGUGCUGCAGCUAACGCAUUAAGCACUCCGCCUGGGGAGUACGACCGCAAGGUUGAAACUCAAAGGAAUUGACGG